AUGGAAAAGUAACCGUUAGUGUUAAUACGUAAUUUUCAUCAUAUUAUUCAGUGCUGUGUAAUGUUAAAUUUUUGGGUUAGCUCCCUAUCAUAAAUAUAAUAAAUAAAUGAAAAUAGGCGAACCAGCGACCAGGCUGAAAGCCUCUCAAAUACGGACAAAAAAAUAAAUGAAUAAUUGUAAAUAAUUAUAAUAAAAUAAGUAUACUCUCCGGAAAUUCUAGACAAUAAAAAAUUCCAUUCUCCCACUCGAUCAUUAACCCUUUAUAAGGCCGAGAAAACCAAACGAGGUGUAAACGCCUAUUAUUAUGGAAAUUAUUAUAUGCAUGAUUACAUGUACAAAACCAUUUUUGUUUAAAAGAAAUACUCAAAAAUUUAGGUGACAAUAUAGUUGCCACUGCCCGUUUAGGCCACCAGCGUUGGUGGCAAUAUUCUUGCCACUGCCCGUUUGGGGUACUUUUCUUCUCAAGACUGCGACAAACAGUUUGAAAAAAGAUUUUGAAGUGAAAAAAGACUACACCCAUCGCUUAAUUCAGUUCAUGUAAACCUGUAAUUUGAUUAUUUCUUAAAAUAUUUAUUAAAUCGUCUGUUUUACAGUAAGUCUUACAAAGGGAUAAGGUAUAGAAACUUGUUUUACAUAAACAGUCAUCGAACAAAUUAUGCAUUGAAAUAAAAGAGUUUGUACAAUUUUUCACCAUAUAUAAACUAAAAAAAUAUACAAGCGAAUCAAAAUAGGGUUCAUCUUGCAACUGGCUUCUUUAGCGGGGUUGAAAUAAUUCCAUAUUCCGAAUCUGCUUGUCAAACUGAGCCGAAAUCCAAAUUUUCAUAAAUUUUGGUGCUCGGGAACCUAUUUAAAAACCAAUUCGAAGUUUAUAUGGGAGUGAUUUAUCGAAUCACUCCUCGCCGCAAUUUGGUACUGGGUGGAGCUGUCAGGCAGUUGCACAGCUAUCAAAAGGUGAUUUCAAGAAAUCUCUUAGAAAUUGAUUUUAGGUAUCAAAAUGGAGUUCUAAAAAUCUGAAGAAAAUCAUAGUCGCUCAUAAAAAGGUGCUGUUUCGUAUAAAAAUAAAAAAAUCAUUAUUUUGUUCAAAAUUUAAAAACCCAAUUGUGGUUGCCAGAUUCAACCAAGGUUCAGAAAGAAAUUGAUUUAAGUAAAUCAUGAUCUGACUUUUUGAAAUGACUAUUUCAAAUUUCUUUGAAAAAAAAAUGCAUAUUUGUAACAAUUUUCUAUUUUUGUUGUGCUUUUUAUAUAGGCUUAUUUUUCUGUACAUUCGGGGAAGGGAUCAUUAUGAUUUUUUUUAUCACAAUAACGGAAUGUGCAUUAACCUUCUUAGCAGCACUACUCCCAACGAUUUUAUGUCCAAACACCAUUCCCCUAAAACGAAACGGUUGGUACGGUUGUCCCCGUUUCUUCCUUCAUUCAAUUCAAAAUGAUUUGUGAAUCAUGUUAUUCAUAAGUGGAUAAUAUGAUAGCCUUACAUUUUUUGAAUUAUCUUCCAACCCAUUAGUCUGCACAGUAGGCUUGGCCGUUUUAUUAUUUGUGUCACAUCAUCUCCGAUAUGCUGCAAAUGUUAAUGCUGACAAGAAAAUAUCAAAAGAAAUAUUUAGUAUUUUUAGGAUGCUUUUCAAUACUGGCUGUGCAAGCACUAGAAUAGUAUAGAAUAGAAUAGAACAGUCAUCGAACAAAUAAUGCCAUAAAUGGGCCUUUUAACCCUUUAUAAGGCCGAGAUAACUGUCGUCGCGGUUGAAACUCGAAGUUUCCUCACACCCGACAAUCGAAUUUCCUCAAAAUCCAUACGUGAAACCUAACGUCGGACGUAGUGCGCUGGACAGCGGACCUGGCCCUCUAUCCAGCGCAUUGUGCCCGACGUACGUCCGACACACGGUUUAGAAGAAAAAUCGAUUUUCGCGUGUCAAAAAUUCCGAUUUUCAACUGCACGAACAAUAUACACUGCUUAUAAAUUAAGCUCAAGUAAACCUGUAAUUUGAUUAUUUCUUAAAAUAUUUACUAAAUCAUCGGUUUUACAGUAAGUUUGAGCUUAUUUUCUCCAAGCAGUCUAAUUUGUGUUUUUUCUGUGUACAAACAGCUCCCAAAUUGCAAUUAAAUGUCUUUAUGCAAUUCAGUAUCAUAAUUUCUAUUUUGUACUACCCAUUUCAGUAUCAUAAUGACCUAUUUUUCCGUACCGGUUCAUUAUGCAACUGAAAUGAGUUGCAUAAUGAAAAAUAGUUACAUAAUGUUCAUAAUGCAACUCAUUUGAGUUGGAUUAUGAAUAUUAUGCAACUCAAAUGAGUUGCAUUAUGAAAAAAAUCAUUGCAUAAAAUGUUGUAUGGAACUCGUUGCAAAACUUGAUUUUUCAGCACUCUUCGUAUUUAUCCAACUCGGCAUGCCUCGUCGGAUAAAUGUACGACUCGUGCUGAAAAAAUCAACUUUUUGCAACUCGUUACAUAAAUAACUAUUUCAGUACCAAAUACCACGUGUUUUUAGUAAUCUCAAUUUUGUGCAAACCAAAAAAGAAAUUCGAAGUAGGUUGUUAUCGAGCCGAAAAAAAUAAAAAUAGUAGGUGGCAAUAUAGUUGCCACUGAUUUAUAAAGAGUUGAAUAUGAUAAUGUCUUGUUAACAUGAACAUAGCAACAAAGUUGAUGUAACUAUGAGUAGAAACAUGCUUAACGAAGCUUUUUAUGCAAGAAUUCAUACGCAACUUAGGUUAAUAAAUCGUGAUGGGGCUGCUAUCGCAAAGAUUCCAUGCUGCUGUUAGUGGUGAAUAUAAAACUUUCCUAAAUAAAUAUUUAUGCGUAUACACCACUGACUGUAGCAACUUGUUGCUUAAGUAUCGCUAGUGUUCUCAACGCUAAAAGUAUUUGACUUCUCACACAGCAUUUGAAAGAAAAUUUGCUCUAGUUUAGAUCUCUGUUCUCUGUGCCUUUUAUAAGGCAAUGGCAUCUAUGCUACCUAGAAUUUUUAUUUGUUUGUUCUUGAUAACCACUUCAAACUUUUUUUUUAGUAUACUCUUUUUUGUCUCUGUUCGGGGCAUAACCACUGCGACCAGUAUUUGAUCUAUUGUGAUAUAUCACUAUUGAGAAGUUAUAAAGUAUUAAGUUUUGUUACAGUAGCCAUUUUUAACUUAAUCGCAAGGAAAGAUUCUUAUUGAUAGGUUUCGCAAUUAACACGCCCUUUUCAGUCAAAAUUCCUUAACGAAAAAGUCGUAAAAUGAUACCGAUAUUGACCAUGCAAAAGAACUAGUCUUUAUUGUCUUAAACCAGUGAACAUCGAAUUAAAGAUUAGGAAUACUAACCCAUUUUUGCUUGUUUCAAGAUCCAUCUCGGCCAGAACCAAACCGAAACCUAUCCUUUUUGCCAAGCUUGUAAUAAGGACUAAAGUUUUUCAUUUAAUAACUAAAAUAUGCUGUUACAGCACAAACCAAUCAACUCACCUCGAAUGGAGGUAAUGAACACAGUGUCCAAUAAGUUACAAAAUACAAAUUUAUAUUUUUUUUUCACAUCUGUGAUUCAUAUUUUCAAAAGGAAUACAUGUGUUGAAGCUAGUGUUGAAGGGUCAUUUUAUACUAAAUAAAUAAAGCAUACGGUAGCCUAGUAGUACACUUCCGUUUUCUGAAAUUCGUUUGCUCCGGCACACAAGAAAAAUGUUCGAAAAGUUUUUCAUUCUACACUAGCUUCAUAAGGUUAAAUUUUGAGUUUUUAUCUCAAGUAUUGUACCAAAUGGAUAUACUAAGGCUAAAACAAUAAAUUUUAGUGAUGAUGUGGUAAGGAAUUUGCAAGUAAGCUGAACUUAGGCUGGUUCUCUUAAAAUGACCGUAAUAGGUAUUUAAGUUAAACAUCAUAAAACGUUAGUUUUGGACAAAAUUUACCACAAUAGGGAUACAAGCAUGUUUCAGAAGUGAGAAUGGCGGGGAUCAACAAGAUAAGAUGCAGUCAUACUUCUUUAACAUAACGAAUCUCAUUAAAACAUGCAAAGAGACAUUUUUGUGCUCCAUAGAAUGAAAAAAAAGACACUACACCGUCUUCAGCCAGAGGCUGCUCAGACUGAACAUUACCAACACGAGACAACGGACAACACACAUAACACCCAGUGGCCCAAUGGAGAAUUUUCCGUUUGACGAAAAGUUUUCCCCGACUGGAGCGGGAAUCUAACCCGCACUCCGAGGCUUACGAAACGCCUAGAAGAUUGACGCCGCUAACCGCACGGCCACGAAGUCCACAUGAACCUAUCAAUCCUACAUCAAGAAAAAAAAAUGAUUGGUCAGCCGCAAUCAGUUGAAACUAUUUAAUUCACAAAACAGUGUUUUUAGGAGAAAAUGGGAAAAAAUGGACACUUACAUUCAAUUCCGGUAAAUGAAACUAUCACCAAUCGAUUCCUUGACUUUUUUUCCAUUCGGAAAAGAUAGACUUCAAAGAUCGCAGUCAUUCGCAAUAAUUAGGUGCCUUUUUGGGUCGGUUAUUCCCCACUGUGCAGCGUGGGUAUUAUGAUUUUUUGCUUAAUUUUAUGCUGUUUGAGCAAAAGUUGGGGUAACUGUGUUGUUGUAUAAUUUAUUUCUUGCAACUUCAACAACACAGUUACCCAAACUUUUGCUCAAACUGCAUAAAAUAAGGAAAGAAAUCUGUUGUUGUGUUGUUGUUUUCUCAAUUUCUUGCAACAUAAACAACAUAGUUAUCCAAAGUUUUGUUCAAACAGCAUCAAAUUAGGUAAAGAAUCAUAAUACCCACGCUUUUUGAACCAUUUCAUUGCAGAAACGGAGAAUUGACCUUCUCACCAUACUAAAAUUAUUCAGCUCAUUACUACAAAUCUAGUACUACACCGAACGUGUCCCAUAGAACUGCGAUUUUGUGAAGAACCGGCUGUUGCUAUACACUCAGGCAACUGAACAUACGAAUUUCUAAAAGUUGCAAGAAAUAAAUAAUACAACACAGUUACCCAAACUUUUGCUCAAACAGCAUCAAAAUAGGCAAGAAACCAUAUAAUCAACGUUGUUUGCACCAUUUCAUUGCAGAAAUGGAGAACUGAUCAUUUCACCAUACAAAAAUCCAGCUCGCUACUUUCAAUCUAGUACUUCACUGAUUGCGUCCUAUUCAGCAGCAAGAAAUCAUAACACAACAUUAUGAAAUCAUAAUCAAGCUCUGAUGAAUUCAUUAACACACGUUAUGGUUUCAGAAGGUGUCAUUCGAAAUCAAGAGAGAACAUUAUGAGUUUCAUAAUGUGACACAAUGAAUUCAUAUGGGCUUGUCUAUGAUUUCAUAAUGCAGUUUUUAGGAUACCGGCAACAGAAUCUGUUCCGUUUUCACAUGUGUAUGAGUACUUACGAAUAUAUGUAUCGUAUGUUUAAGUUAUGGCUAAUUUUCAUAAUGCGUUUUUAUGAAUUCCUUAUGGUUAUUUGUUAUUAAACGUUCGGUGAAGUACCAGAAUUGAAGUAAUGAGCUGAAUUUUUGUAUGGUGAGAAAGCCAAUGGGGCACAUUCGGUGUAGUACUAGAUUUGUAGUAAUGAGCUGAAUUUUAGUAUGGUGAGAAGGUCAAUUCUCCGUUUCUGCAAUGAAAUGGUGCAAAAAGCGUGGGUAUUAUGAUUCCUUGCCUAAUUUGAUGCUGUUUGAGCAAAACUUUGGAUAACUAUGUUGUUUAUGUUGCAAUAAAUGGAGAAAACAACAACACUGUUGCCCAAAGUUUUGCUCAAACAGCAUCUUUGCAGAAACGGAGAAUUAACCUUCUCACCAUACUAAAAUUCAGCUCAUUACUACAAAUCUAGUACUUCACCGAUCUGUCCUAUUCUCCGUUUCUGCAAUGAAAUGGAUUAAAAUGCGUGGGUAUUAUGAUUCCUUGCUUAAUUUGAUGAUGUUUGAGCAAAACUGUGGGUAACCCUGUUGUUGUUUUCUCCAUUUCUUGUAACGUAAACAACACAGUUACCCAAAGUUUUGCUCAAACAGCAUCAAAUUAGGCAAGGAAUCAUAAUUCCCACGCUUUUUAAACCACUUCAUUGCAGCAACGGAGAACUGACCUUCUCACCAUACAAAAAUUCAGCUCAUUACUUCAAUUCUAGAAUUUCACCGAACGUGUCCUAUUGCAUAUGCGUAGAAUCUCGAGGCAGCCAUGUCGCAUGAAAGUGAGCUCUACACUGAGAAAAAAGUAUAGUAAUGCGAACCACGGUAUUGUGCUUAAUUUUACCAUGCCGAAAUAUCGUAAACACAACCAAAUAUUUUUUUACAUCCACCUUGGGCAUAGAGAGUAUCUUCGUGCCUGCCACACGACAUACACAUGCAAAAUAAUCAUUGGCAGAGGAAGCUCUCAGUUAAUAACUGUGGAAGUGCUCAUAGAACACUAAGCUGAGAAGCAGGCUUUGUCCCAGUGAGGACGUUACGCCAAGAAGAGGAGGAGGACAAAUCAAUAAAAAUUACCAUGCUGCGUAAUAACUGUAACAUAAUGAGUUUCACAAUAUACAUAUUCAGCAGUACUAUACGAUGUUUACAAUUCGGCAAGCACAUAUAGUAAUAUUGACUCGAAAAAUGUUAGCCCAAACAUUCAGCAUUUUUGAGCUUACAAAACAUCAUAGUUGUUGUAAAUAUAUGGAUGUUAUUUAAAUUGUUUAGUUCGUGUUCGCCAUCUUAAUACAUUUCAUUUCGGAAACCGUUUUCCGGAAUCAAGAUUCAUUUUUAGCUGAAUCCUCCGGAACAGCGGAUAAUUGAAGUUGUAGUUAAUAGUGUGCGGAAGUGACUGCGGAUCGAAUUCUCGGCCGUCAACGAAUCCCGAAAACUUAGUCACUGGUGCAGAUCGUGAAGUCCCGAAAAAUAGCGAAGGCCGCAUGUACGGGGAAAAUAUGGAAUCGUGUCUCGCGAUCGAACGUUGGCAACAGUAAGAGGUCUCCUUUACCCCAACUUAGCACGCCAACAACCGUUUGAGAAAUCCGACCUCCCAGAAGCAGCAGGUCCUCCAAGUUGAACUGGCCCUACCCUUAAAUUCUGGACGUGCUUACAUUCCCCGACCCGGUCCUAUCCAGGAUUGCAUCAAUCAUCAUUGCUUCACAGAGGACUAUCAACAUUCAGGUCAACAUCGCAUCCGCUCUAUCACAAGUUCCCGGACAGCAUCGCCCAAUCCCAACAGGCUUCUUCCAGAAACAUUACCGAGUCGGGAAACUAUUCCUGGAGCGGAUACUUCGCAGAUUGAGUCACUGAAAAACCCUCGGAAAAACCAAGCUGAAGAUGAUUAAGAAAACUCCGUCUCAACACCUGCCGAAAAAUAUUCAUUCACGUUUAUGUUAUGUUUGCAAUAAGUAUUGAUUGAUGCACAAAGCGAAAAGAAGAAGUUUUGACAUCCAAGCGGUGUGCCGUCGAUUAGAUCCUCGUUGCUGAUUGGUCGAUGGAUGUAAACGGCACACCGCUUGGAUGUCAAAACUCUUCUUCUUACCGCUUGGUGCAUCAAUCAAUUUUUUAAUCAAAAAAUAAUAAAAUCAUUCUGUUUAUCUAUCUGAGUUUUUUUUUAAACGUAAAUAUGAAGAAGUGACACUACAGACUAUUUAUUUAACCAUGUGCAUAGUAAUUUAAACCGUAUUGCGAUGGUCAAACGUACUAUGCCACUUGUCACACACAUAGUAAAAUGAAUUAUGGAAGCAUUUUCGACAUUACCAUGAAAUGUAAAUAAAGAACAACAUGGUAAAUUGAACUCUUCACAUGGUAGUUUCAAAUAUAAGUUAUGGUCUACGAAAAUCAAGUAGUAAAUACGUUUUAAUUUCACCCUCGAUUUGGUCACCGUUACCAUGUCUCUUUUUUCAGUGUAUGUGGCUCUUCUACAUAGUGUACUGCUAGAGUGCAGUCAGAGUCCAGAGCUACGUUAGGUACGUGGAACGGAGUCGGCAGAACGAAUGGAUCGACAAGGAGUACAGAUUAAUUUUGAAGGAGAAGAACGCAGCUCGAGCCCUAAUGCUGCAGUAUGGAACCCGGUAAUUAGUGGAAAUAUAUA